UUACGGCCAUAUCACGUUGAAAUACCGGUUCUCGUACGAUCACCGAAGUUAAGCUACGUUGAACCUGGUCAGAAAUUAGAUGAGUGGCCGCUUGGAAAUACCAGAUGCAGU
rnacentral:rRNA from 1 species